rnacentral:tRNA from 1 species
CCGGGUGUAGCUCAACCUGGCAGAGCAUGCGGCUGUAGACCGCAGUGUUGGGAGUUCAAACACGCUGCUGAUGCAGGCGCUUUCAGCUGCGCUGAAAAUCUCUCCACCCGGA